UCUAUUAUGCGUUUCGUAAAUAUCUAACAUCAUGACAUAGAGAGUGUACAAAAUACUCUUCACUUCACUUUCCUCUUCUCAACUGGCCAAUGCUUCUUCACUCUCUUUUUCAAAUUGCCAUCGAUUUCCAUUAGCUAUCGACUUUUCCUCAGGUGAUCUGGGUGUAUCGGAAACUACUGGUUUGGCUCUCUCUGUAUGAUCAGAAUGGUGAUGGCAGAUAGUGGCAACAUAGUUGCUAUUGCAAGGAACGAACUCGAUAGACUUACGGAUCUUCCUAUUAAUAUCAUACACCAGAUU